UUUAUGGAGAGUUUGAUCCUGGCUCAGGAUGAACGCUGGCGGCGUGCCUAAUACAUGCAAGUCGAGCGAACGGACGAGAAGCUUGCUUCUCUGAUGUUAGCGGCGG
rnacentral:rRNA from 1 species